rnacentral:rRNA from 1 species
GACGAACCGUGCGAACGUUGUUCGGAUUCACUGGGCUUAAAGGGCGCGUAGGCGGAUUAUCAAGUCAGGGGUGAAAGCCGCCGGCUCAACCGGGGAAUAGCCUUUGAUACUGGUAGUCUUGAGGGAGGUAGGGGCCUCUGGAACUUCUGGUGGAGCGGUGAAAUGCGUAGAUAUCAGAAGGAACGCCGGUGGAGAAAGCGGGGGGCUGGAUCUCAUCUGACGCUGAGGCGCGAAAGCUAGGGGAGCAAACGGG